rnacentral:rRNA from 1 species
AUUGAACGCUGGCGGCAUGCUUUACACAUGCAAGUCGAACGGCAGCGCGGGCUUCGGCCUGGCGGCGAGUGGCGAACGGGUGAGUAAUACAUCGGAACGUGCCCAGCAGUGGGGGAUAGCUCGGCGAAAGACGGAUUAAUACCGCAUACGACCUGAGGGGGAAAGCGGGGGAUCUUCGGACCUCGCGAUAUUGGAGCGGCCGAUGGCGGAUUAGCUAGUUGGUGGGGUAAAGGGCUACCAAGGCGACGAUCUGUAGCUGGUCUGAGAGGACGACCAGCCACACUGGGACUGAGACACGGCCCAGACUCCUACGGGAGGCAGCAGUGGGGAAUUUUGGACAAUGGGCGAAAGCCUGAUCCAGCAAUGCCGCGUGUGUGAUGAAGGCCUUCGGGUUGUAAAGCACUUUUGGCGGGAACGAAAAGGACUGUGCCAAUACCACGGUUCGAUGACGGUACCCGCAGAAUAAGCACCGGCUAACUACGUG